rnacentral:lncRNA from 1 species
GCUUAAAUCUUGCUCCACUGGUUCACCCAUGGCUGCUCUCACAUACCAAGCUAGAGUUCAAUUAGAAAGUUGGAGAUCAGUAACUCCAGAACACUGGCCAGAGGGUCAGAAGAGCUGACUCGUGGACAUUCUCAUUGUGGGUGCAGCUCAGUUGCCGUGAUGCUCCUUGAGUCAAUGAGCUCUUUGGUCUGCUCUUCUGCUCAAGCAGAAAAGGAUUGGCACUUCACCCUUGAGAAGCUGACAAGAACCACAGGCUUCUUCAGGCAGGUGGUGGAACAUGGGUGUAUCCUGCAGGUGCUCACAGUAUCUCCCUUUGCUCAGGCUCUAGCCUGAUUUUCUGGCUCAUAAGGCCAAAGGGAGCUGGAAAAGUCCCCACGGCAGGACUCAUGGUGGAGAGAGAAUGAUCUAGAGGAUUCAGGCCUCUGCAUACUGUGUCUGGGUCCCUCCUUAAAGAAUGAUAAAGACAAGUAAAGAGCUUGAAGCAGCCUGGAGUCCAGCCAGAAACCUUUAACUGAGCUUUAAAGGAGAUGGUCACAACACUUUUCAGAAUACUGGCAAAGGCCUCCUGUGGCCAGGUUUGUCCUGGGAUGAGCAAAAUUUAAUGUUAACCUGCUGUAUCUUUGCUUUUAAUAUAUCUGCUUGCCCAUCACAAUGAUGUUAUGGUUAAUUUCACCAAUUUGGUAACCUGCCUCUUGGGAAGUACGAAAGUAAGCAAGGGCCAGGUGUGGUGACUCACGCCUGUAAUCCCAGUACUUUGGGUGGCUGAGGCGGGUGGAUUGCUUGAGCC